GAUGAACGCUGGCGGCGUGCCUAAUACAUGCAAGUCGAGCGAACAGACGAGGAGCUUGCUCCUCUGACGUUAGCGGCGGACGGGUGAGUAACACGUGGAUAACCUACCUAUAAGACUGGGAUAACUUCGGGAAACCGGAGCUAAUACCGGAUAAUAUAUUGAACCGCAUGGUUCAAUAGUGAAAGGCGGUUUUGCUGUCACUUAUAGAUGGAUCCGCGCCGCAUUAGCUAGUUGGUAAGGUAACGGCUUACCAAGGCAACGAUGCGUAGCCGACCUGAGAGGGUGAUCGGCCACACUGGAACUGAGACACGGUCCAGACUCCUACGGGAGGCAGCAGUAGGGAAUCUUCCGCAAUGGGCGAAAGCCUGACGGAGCAACGCCGCGUGAGUGAUGAAGGUCUUCGGAUCGUAAAACUCUGUUAUUAGGGAAGAACAAAUGUGUAAGUAACUAUGCACGUCUUGACGGUACCUAAUCAGGAAGCCACGGCUAACUACGUG
rnacentral:rRNA from 1 species